rnacentral:rRNA from 1 species
CAGUCGCCGCGGUAAUACGAAGGGGGCUAGCGUUGCUCGGAAUGACUGGGCGUAAAGAGCGCGUAGGCGGUUUUGACAGUCAGAUGUGAAAUUCCUGGGCUUAACCUGGGGGCUGCAUUUGAGACGUCAAGACUAGAGUGUGAGAGAGGGUUGUGGAAUUCCCAGUGUAGAGGUGAAAUUCGUAGAGAUCGGGAGGAACAUCAGUGGCGAAGGCGACUAUCUGGGCCAACACUGACACUGAGGCACGAAAGCGUGGGGAGCAAACAGGAUUAGAUACCCGCGUAGUCCCUGUCUCUUAUAA